CACCGCGGUUAUACGAGAGGCCCAAGCUGACAGACAUCGGCGUAAAGAGUGGUUAGGAAACAUAAAUUAAACUAGGGCCGAAUGCUUUCAAGGCUGUUAUACGCACCCGAAAGCAAGAAGUACAACAACGAAAGUGACCCUAUUAAUUCUGAACCCACGAAAGCUAAGGCA
rnacentral:rRNA from 1 species